GUUCUUCCAAUGUUCCAAAGUAAGUAUAUUGCCAUGAUCUAUGCUCUUACUCAAUUAGUGAUAGAACACAAAUAAUUAGUUUAACAUAAACCAUACUCACUCCUAGUAAUGUUAUAUUACACUGAACGCAUUUCACAACUGCUUUAUCUCAUUGAACUGGUUACGUCUUGAAUUCCCAGCUACCCAUUCCCUCUGUGCUGCCU